GGAAAGAUGGUCGAGUUGGCUUAAGGCGCUCGCCUGGAAAGCGGGUAUACGUUAAUAGCGUAUCGGGGGUUCGAAUCCCCCUCUUUCCG
rfam:Peptoniphilus sp. oral taxon 386 str. F0131 genomic scaffold supercont1.1, whole genome shotgun sequence.